rnacentral:rRNA from 1 species
UCCUACGGGGCGCAGCAGUGGGGAAUAUUGGGCAAUGGGCGCAAGCCUGACCCAGCAACGCCGCGUGAAGGAAGAAGGCUUUCGGGUUGUAAACUUCUUUUGACAGGGAAGAGUAGAAGACGGUACCUGUCGAAUAAGCCACGGCUAACUACGUGCCAGCAGCCGCGGUAAUACGUAGGUGGCGAGCGUUGUCCGGAAUUACUGGGUGUAAAGGGAGCGUAGGCGGGAGAGCAAGUCGACUGUGAAAUCUAUGGGCUUAACCCAUAGCUGCGAU